GCAAGCGCUAGUAUAACGGUUAGCAUAGCUGCCUUCCAAGCAGCUGACCCGGGUUCGACUUCCCGGCCAACGCAGUUUGCU